CAGCACCUCAAGUGGUCAGGAUGAUUAUUGGGCCUAAAGCAUCCGUAGCCUGCUUUGUUAGUUUUCGGUUAAAUCCAUACGCUCAACGUAUGGGCUGCCGGGAAUACCGCAAAGCUAGGGAGUGGGAGAGGUAGACGGUACUCGGUAGGAAGGGGUAAAAUCCUUUGAUCUAUUGAUGACCACCUGUGGCGAAGGCGGUCUACCAGAACACGUCCGACGGUGAGGGAUGAAAGCUGGGGGAGCAAACCGGAUUAGAUACCCGAGUAGUCC
rnacentral:rRNA from 1 species